AUGACCCUGAAAGAUGACCAAACAGAACCACUUGUAACCCAGCUGAAAUUCUGCGCUGUCUCUUUAAAUCUGCCGGUUCCCCUUGCACUGCGUAACUGCAGUGACGUGUCACUUUCACUUUGAAAGGCGUGUCAAAACGCCAAUGAGAGAUGCAUUCGUGGGGAAGCUCGGCUGUGUACCGCUGCAGCAGGUAGGCUUUUGACUUGCAGGCGCGAAAUAUUAAUCCUGUUGUGCCGGUUUACUGACGAAAGGCAUUUUAUUAGAUUGGCGUUCAUCACCGGAAGCCGGGAAAAUUAAAUCAGCGCGAUUAGUGAAGCGUGAACUGGCCAGGUCGCUUGACUGGUUGUGUCUGAAGAUUUUGGAGUGCUCACCCAGAGCAUUGGAUGCAGUAUCGACUGGGGAGUCCACCACUCCCAGAAAACAGUGAGGAUAAAACCUCUGUGGAUGGCGAGCUAAAAGGAGCCCGAUAUUAGACCGGAAUCUACCAUCCUACCACCAGUGCGGUAGGACUAACCCCCCACACUCUACAACAACUCAUCCGGAGUGCAUUUUUCUUUCUUUUUUUAUCUCCGGUAACUGGAGUACCCAGACUCUUUCUCAUCACAACUCUCUCUACGAACUAAUAGAAAAAAAACAUCAUCAGGACUGAAGUGUUUUGUUCCUAUGUGUUGUAAAUUUUGAAUUCACUGUAUAUUGUAAAUACAUUUGCAUCAGCAACUCACCUUUAGCCUUGUCUGUUGUUUUUAAGCAUUCACUGUCCUCCCUGAGUCGAACCUUUCUAGCCCAAACCGACAACUUCUGAAUAAUAUUAAUUCAUGCAUGCUACACACUGCUUUAACCAGUCUCUUUUUAGGGUUCUUUGUUAGACUAACAAGUUAUACUUACCCAGAGUGCUUUGCCUGCUGCAGUGUUUGCCCUCAGGGAGGAGGCUCCCGGGGCCAGAGCUGACGGGGAGCGCGCUCGCUGCAAACCUGGCGAGCAGGCCCAGCCCGCUCUCCUCGCAGCCGCCGUCCAAAUCCUCAUCCUCUUCCUCAUCGUCUGAGAUUUCUGCGCCGAAGACAAAAAAAAAAAAAAAAACGUCAGCUGAGAGACUAAACAUCGCAGAAGCAUGCGUCUGGGGUCAAAGGUCAAAUCAAUUCCUAUUGCUUCUAGCAGCUGCAGAGGAUCAACAACCAGGAAGUGACUAAAAAAAA